rnacentral:rRNA from 1 species
CUUUAAUGGAGAGUUUGAUCCUGGCUCAGGACGAACGCUGGCGGCGUGCCUAAUACAUGCAAGUCGAGCGG